AGUGAACGCUGGCGGUAGGCCUAACACAUGCAAGUCGAACGGCAGCACAGUAAGAGCUUGCUCUUACGGGUGGCGAGUGGCGGACGGGUGAGGAAUACAUCGGAAUCUACUUUUUCGUGGGGGAUAACGUAGGGAAACUUACGCUAAUACCGCAUACGACCCACGGGUGAAAGCAGGGGAUCUUCGGACCUUGCGCGAUUGAAUGAGCCGAUGUCGGAUUAGCUAGUUGGCGGGGUAAAGGCCCACCAAGGCGACGAUCCGUAGCUGGUCUGAGAGGAUGAUCAGCCACACUGGAACUGAGACACGGUCCAGACUCCUACGGGAGGCAGCAGUGGGGAAUAUUGGACAAUGGGCGCAAGCCUGAUCCAGCCAUACCGCGUGGGUGAAGAAGGCCUUCGGGUUGUAAAGCCCUUUUGUUGGGAAAGAAAAGCAGCAGGUUAAUACCCCGCUGUUCUGACGGUACCAAAAGAAUAAGCACCGGCUAACUUCGUG
rnacentral:rRNA from 1 species